rnacentral:rRNA from 1 species
CCUACGGGGGGCAGCAGUGGGGAAUAUUGGGCAAUGGGCGCAAGCCUGACCCAGCAACGCCGCGUGAAGGAAGAAGGCUUUCGGGUUGUAAACUUCUUUUAAGAGGGAAGUGCAGAAGACGGUACCUCUUGAAUAAGCCACGGCUAACUACGUGCCAGCAGCCGCGGUAAUACGUAGGUGGCAAGCGUUGUCCGGAUUUACUGGGUGUAAAGGGCGUGCAGCCGGGAAGACAAGUCAGAUGUGAAAUCCCGCGGCUCAACCGCGGAACUGCAUUUGAAACUGUUUGUCUUGAGUACCGGAGAGGUCAUCGGAAUUCCUUGUGUAGCGGUGAAAUGCGUAGAUAUAAGGAAGAACACCAGUGGCGAAGGCGGCCUACUGGGCUUUAACUGACGCUGAGGCACGAAAGCGUGGGUAGCAAACAGGAUUAGAUACCCCUGUAGUC